GACGAACGCUGGCGGCGUGCCUAAUACGUGCAAGUCGAGCGGACAGAAGGGAGCUUGCUCCCGGAAGUUAGCGGCGGACGGGUGAGUAACACGUGGGCAACCUACCCUGUAGAUCGGGAUAACAUCGAGAAAUCGGCGCUAAUACCGGAUAAUCAUUUGAAGUGCAUGCUUCGAAUGUAAAAGAUGGCUCCGGCUAUCACUACGGGAUGGGCCCGCGGCGCAUCAGCUAGUUGGUAAGGUAAUGGCUUACCAAGGCAACGAUGCGUAGCCGACCUGAGAGGGUGAUCGGCCACACUGGGACUGAGACACGGCCCAGACUCCUACGGGAGGCAGCAGUAGGGAAUCUUCCGCAGUGGACGAAAGUCUGACGGAGCAACGCCGCGUGAGUGAUGAAGGUUUUCGGAUCGUAAAGCUCUGUUGUUAGGGAAGAACAAGUGCCGUUUGAAUAAGGCGGCACCUUGACGGUACCUAACCAGAAAGCCACGGCUAACUACGUGCCAGCAGCCGCCGCCGUAA
rnacentral:rRNA from 1 species